UGAAAAACAGGAAACAGCAGUCUUUAUAGGAUUUCCUUUUUUUAAUCUACGCCCUUCAAAGUAAAUUACCCUCAAUAACUACAAUUCAUAAUGUUGACACUAACUUGCGUACAUGCAAAUGAAGACCAUUGAUUGUUAAAAGAUUACCACACAAGUCUCAGGGAACACACUGUUUGCGAACACACGAGAUUGUAAGUUGACAGUGUAUUAGCCAUUCCGAACUUGAUGAGUGGACUGGGGACGAGUGUUAAAAAGUUCCCAAAUUAAGAAAUGAACCAAUUCACUAAAGCCGACCACCUCAAAAUUAGUAAGUAUACAAAGUUUGAAGACAUUUACAUGAAUAGCCUUCG